GUAAUAGGUCUCAAAAUGCUUACUCAGGAGCGUGCGGUCGCUGGAUUGGGACACAGCCAUGGUCUGUAGCUGUGUCAGAGCCAGCUUGUGUGAGCCAGCGGUGAUAUCUGUACACGCAGUAGGCUUUUAAAAUACUCAUGUUUCAUUCUCCUGCUAGCAGUGGAGGAGACUUUUCUGCUGAGGAAGAGGCCGUGCUCUCCUGCCGUCCUACUGGUGCCAUUGAGGGAUCAGCGGCUGGUAUAUAUUCUUCUCGACCUUGAGUGUUUGGACUGAAGGACUCACAGACACGUUUCAUAUUUAGCUCUAUAAAAUAUUUUAAAAAGAUUAUUUUUAAAUAUUUUCCUGGCCAGCCAUUUUCUUAUUCACACAGGCUGUAUGGAGACCUUUUGGUUGUUGCCACAGACGCUUUCUCUUACUACGGAUGGAGGAUGUUGCGGUUUUACAACCCAUGGACUGAGAAAGGACUCAAUAAGUAAUCUGUUCACAUAUUCCAGGGUUAAACACAAAACAGGAGGCGAGAGCAGAGAACAAGAGUGCAGCCGUUUGGUGGAAGGUGAAGAAGAGGUGAGCAUCCAAAAGACGAGCAAGAGGACAGUUUCAUAGGAGACAUCACGGCACAAUAAAAGCUAGAAACUCACCUGAUGUAGUGGUAAGGCCAUGUUCACCACUAGAUGGAGACAACCUGGCACAGAAAUGGAGACCCGCCACAUGAACACACAAGCUCAGGUCUGAAUUCUUUGCCAGCUGCAUAUAUAUUUCUGCACUGCGUCACACCGACACACAGUUUACUUUUUGUCUGGUUUCCUGUAUUUUAUACGCCUGUGCAGCUCUGCACUAAAACCUCCUGUUCUCUGCAGCAGCAUGCAGUUUCCUGUCAGUACUCUGUGACAUUGUGCUCAAACUGGUGUUCUCCCAGUCUGGCCUCAUUAAAACAAAAUAAACAGAAAAUAAGCAUUAAGAAUAUAUAUUUAUUUCCUAACAAUACACAUGGAAACUUCACACAGACAAACACACACACAAAACAACAAAAUGCACGUCUCAUUUUGAGAAUUUCACCACUUUUACUUUUCAUGGAAAAUAACUUGUUACAUGAUAUCAUUUAAAAUAAGUUUGUCAGUGAGUGGCUGCCACAUAAGUAUAAAUCUAAAUCAUACAUGUGGGUAGGGCUGCAUAGUCAGUAAAAGUCUCCAAGGCUCUGCAGAGCUCCAAACCUCCUCUGCCACAAACAGAAGCAUCAAAAAUGUGCGCUGGGAGCUUCAUGGAAGGAUUUCUACAGCCAAGCAAAUCUAUAUGUGUGUGGCCAAGAAGCUCAGUCCAUGUAGGGUAUCUUAGCACAGUUUGUGUCAGUCAGGUCAGCUAGUGGGAGGGCAGAGAGGGCAGCCUUUACAUUAUUUUAUUGUAGAGUGACAGGAACUGCCUAUGAGCUUCUAAUCAGGCAGAAGUGUUGACAGAAAACAUAUCAAAGGAAAUACAUUGAUGAAAAUCAAAGAAGAGAAAUAUUUAUGUGAUGUUCUAUUUUCCUGAGAGCUGAUUGGCUGUGAUGACUCCUUCAAGUACUACAUGAAACUUUGUCCUGCUAGUUACGCCUGCU